rnacentral:rRNA from 1 species
GUUGACGCUGGCGGCGGGCCUAACACAUGCAAGUCGAACGAGUGGCGGACUGGUGAGCAGUUUCUGAGAAACUGCCUGAUGGAGGGGUAUAACUGCUGUAAACGGUGGCUAAUACCGCUUACCAUCGUAUGUGCCCAGAUGGGAUUAGCUAGUAGGUGGGGUAAAGGCUCACCUAGGCGACGAUCCCUAGCUGGUCUGAGAGGAUGACCAGCAACACUGGGACUGAGACACGGCCCAGACUCCUACGGGAGGCAGCAGUGGGGAAUCUUGGACAAUGGACGAAAGUCUGACGCAGCAACGCCGCGGGUAUGAAGAAGGCUUUCGGGUUGUAAAGUACUUUCAGCGGGGAAGCGGUACCCGAAGAAGAAGCCACGGCUAACUCCGUGCCAGCAGCCGCGGUAAUAC